GAUUUCUGGCUUGAUACAUUUUGCCGGCCACGGUUUCGUGUGUUAGUGCUUGAUGUUCUGGCCAUCCUUCCAAUCGCUAUUCACCUUUCUUCAUUGAUUGGUGAGUGGUAUUGGAUCUUUUACUUUGAAAAAAUUAGAGUGUUUCAAGCAGGCUUUAUGCUAUGAAUACAUUAGCAUGGAAUAAUAAUUUAGGACUUCGGUUCUAUUUUGUUGGUUUCUAGGACUGAAGUAAUGAUUGAUAGGGAUAGUUGGGGGUGCUAGUAUUCAGCGGCCAGAGGUGAAAUUCUCGGAUUCGCUGAAGACUAACUUAUGCGAAAGCAUU
rnacentral:rRNA from 1 species